CGUCUAUAUACGUAUAGCAUAUCAAUAAGCGGAGGAAAAGAAACUAACUAGGAUUCCCUUAGUAACGGCGAGUGAAGCGGGAAGAGCUCAAAUUUGGAAAUCUUCAAGGUUCUACCUUGACGAAUUGUAGUUUAAAGAAGUGGUUUCUGUUGGAGUUUUGGUAAAAGUUCUUUGGAAUAGGACAUCAUAGAGGGUGAGAAUCCCGUAUUUGACCAGUUACUUUCCAGCUGUGUGAUACACUUUCAAAGAGUCGGAUUGUUUGGGAAUGCAGUCCAAAAUGGGUGGUAAAUUUCAUCUAAAGCUAAAUAUUGGCGAGAGACCGAUAGCGAACAAGUACCGUGAGGGAAAGAUGAAAAGAACUUUGAAAAGAGAGUUAAACAGUACGUGAAAUUGUCAAAAGGGAAGCGUUUGACACCAGUGUUGUUUAGUUGAAAAUCAAUUCAAUAAUUUUUGAUUUUAAGUAGUAUUGACUUCAUCAGCUUGCUGCUUUCUUUUCAGAAAUUAUUGAAUGCACUUUUCAGUUAACAAGUCAACAUCAAUUUCUUUUGUUGUAAAAGGGUAAGAGGAAGGUGGCUUACGCUUCGGCGUAAGUGUUUAUAGCCUUUUACCUCUGCAAUCGGAGAGAUUGAGGAUCAGCAGCGUAGACUCCUUCGGGGGUUAGAUACACUUGUGCUAAGCUAUAGCCUUGUAUAGACAACUUGUUGACUAUGCUCAGUCAUGUAGCCUACUUGCUUAUGCUAUUUUACCUACGCUUAGGAUGUUGAUAGUCACAGCGUGUAC
rnacentral:rRNA from 1 species